rnacentral:rRNA from 1 species
UAACUUUUGUGUGAAAAGGCAUUAAUAAUUUAGAGGGACGAUAAGACCCUAUAAAAUUUUACAUGUAGUAUAUUUUUUAAUAAAAUUGAUUAGUAAAAUGUUAGUUGAUAAGUUUUGUUUUGCUGGGGCGGCAGGAAUAUAAGCUUAACUGUUUUAUAUUUAAAAUACUAUAAGUAGAGAAUGGUCCUUUAUUAAGGAGAUAAGAGUAAGUUACUUUAGGGAUAACAGCAUAAUUUUUUCUAAGAGUUCUUAUUGAAGGGAAUAGUUGUGACCUCGAUGUUGAAUUAAAUUUUCCCUUAGGUGCAGGAGUUUAAUGGGAGGGUCUGUUCGACCUUUAAAUAUUUACAUGAUUGUU